rnacentral:rRNA from 1 species
GCCCCUUAUGACCUGGGCUACACACGUGCUACAAUGGUUGGUACAACGAGUUGCGAGUCGGUGACGGCGAGCUAAAUCUCUUAAAGCCAAUCUCAGUUCGGAUUGUAGGCUGCAACUCGCCUACAUGAAGUCGGAAUCGCUAGUAAUCGCGGAUCAGCACGCCCGCGGUCGAAUACGGUUCCGGGCCUU